CUGUAAUGUGCCGUUUGCAUGUGAUGUGAAUGAGAGUCGGGUAGAUAGGUUUACAUGUGAUGUAGCAAACCCAAUUGAGACCUAUAUCAAAAACCUCCUCAAUCAAGUCGAGAGUGAACCGACUUGAGCAAGUCAUAUUAGAUUAAUUGAUCUAAUUGGUGUCUAGGAAAGCAUGAAAGGUGGUUACUUAAUUAGGACCUUACUCUCUGAGUAAGGGGAGCCUCCCACCUGCUUACCUGGCCAAUUGUUCGAUUACCUCUUAUGAAGGGCUCAAGUUGCAAACACUAAGACCUGAUUAACCAAUAUUAAGUCAAUAGGUCUUCCAAUGUAGUAGAGCUGCUAAGGUCUUUCUGAUGUUGAUUUGUCUCGGCUGGACACAGUGGUCAAGUUGCAUCGGGAGGCUGGACCUCUCUAUAGACAUGAGAUGUUGUAGGGUAAAGGUGAGGUUGGGCACCAAUAACUGUUAGGUGAGGACCCAAUGACGACUUUAUUCCUACGGUUAUACGGUGGGUCUGACUUAACUAAGAAAUGGAACCAAUAACUGUUAGGUGAGGUUUUCAUGGCUUAGAGACCAAGUUGUACUGCAACAUGCUUGAGAAGCAUUGUACAAGAGUUGUACAUUCAUCAAUCUAUGUGUCACCAAUAACUGUUAGGUGAGGUGGCAUGUAAAUUGGUGGGACCGCAGUACCUACUAGAAACCCU
rnacentral:lncRNA from 1 species